rnacentral:rRNA from 1 species
AUUGAACGCUGGCGGCAUGCCUUACACAUGCAAGUCGAACGGCAGCACGGACUUCGGUCUGGUGGCGAGUGGCGAACGGGUGAGUAAUAUAUCGGAACAUACCUUGUAGUGGGGGAUAACUAUCCGAAAGGAUAGCUAAUACCGCAUACGCUCUAAGGAGGAAAGCGGGGGAUCGUAAGACCUCGUGCUAUAAGAGUGGCCGAUAUCUGAUUAGCUAGUUGGUGAGGUAAAGGCUCACCAAGGCGACGAUCAGUAGCUGGUCUGAGAGGACGACCAGCCAACCUGGAACUGAGACACUGUCCAGACUCCUACGGGAGGCAGCAGUGGUGAAUUUUGGACAAUGGGGGCAACCCUGAUCCAGCAAUGCCGCGUGAGUGAAGAAGGCCUUCGGGUUGUAAAGCUCUUUUGUCAGGGAAGAAACGGUUGUGGCUAAUAUCCAUGGCUAAUGACGGUACCUGAAGAAUAAGCACCGGCUAACUACGUGCCAGCCGCCGCAGUAAUAC